GCCGUGUAACAAUAGCGCAACAUGAAAGUCGGCGGCGUCACAGGGCCAAGCCCUAAUGGACGCUCCUGUGCAACUGUGUCUCCUCAGCAGUCCAGGUCGACUAACCUUCAAGUCCUUGUCACUCUCCAACAGCACAUGUACAAAGGAGGCUAUUGUUCAGGAUCAGGGUCUAUGACCUCUUGAAAUGAAGUGCACAGGGCCGCUGGCGAUGAGAGGGCAGCCAUGCUGGAAAUGGAUGACUCAAGGUUUGGGAGAACAAGGAAGUGUAGAGACACUGAUUUUAAGACAGCAGCUGUGGAUGUCAGUACAUGGAUUGUGGUCUGGAUCCUUCACAGGUCUUUUCCAGGAGACCAUCUGUGAGGAACCAUCAAAAUAAAGCAGGAUACACUUUGCCUUCC